CUGAUCAACGCGUGCGGGUCAAUUGCGGCUUGCAACACCCGAUCUCCCUCAAUGUACCGCCGAAAAUGGCGGUCUCCGUGGGAGAGCGCGUGACUAUCAG
rfam:Natrialba magadii ATCC 43099, complete genome.